GCCUUGGCGGUGUAGUGGUAGCACGCGCCUCUCGAGAAAGAUGAAGCGUGGGUUCAGUCCCGCCUGAGGUU